rnacentral:rRNA from 1 species
GACGAACGCUGGCGGCGUGCUUAACACAUGCAAGUCGAACGGAAAGGCCCUGCUUUUGUGGGGUGCUCGAGUGGCGAACGGGUGAGUAACACGUGAGUAACCUGCCCUUGACUUUGGGAUAACUUCAGGAAACUGGGGCUAAUACCGGAUAGGAUCUCCUGCUGCAUGGUGGGGGUUGGAAAGUUUCGGCGGUUGGGGAUGGACUCGCGGCUUAUCAGCUUGUUGGUGGGGUAGUGGCUUACCAAGGCUUUGACGGGUCGCCGGCCUGAGAGGGUGACCGGCCACAUUGGGACUGAGAUACGGCCCAGACUCCUACGGGAGGCAGCAGUGGGGAAUAUUGCACAAUGGGCGGAAGCCUGAUGCAGCAACGCCGCGUGCGGGAUGACGGCCUUCGGGUUGUAAACCGCUUUCGCCUGUGACGAAGCGUGAGUGACGGUAAUGGGUAAAGAAGCACCGGCUAACUACGUG